rnacentral:lncRNA from 1 species
GCAUUUGGAUGACCACGGCUCUGGCUAACACCUCACUUACAGCCUUGGGAGAGAUUCUGAGUCAGAGGCAUCCAGCUAAAUUGACCCACAGACACGGUAAAUCAGGGAUUUCUUCUUGGUUUGGAUCCACUGUUGAUUUUAGGUUACAAAAAGAUGGCAGAUUGCAUCUUGGGCACUCUCUUGUAUGACUUUUUGGAGAAGCCAGUUUUCAUGUUGUGAGAGGCCUGGCAGAGGGGCCCAAAUGAGUUCGCUGGGAAGCGGAUCACAGAAACCAUGAGGUCCCGGUUUAUGACUGCAAAACAAUGGUUUAAACAGUAUUCAUUCUGGAACAUCACUCAAUUUCACUAAUACUAGAUCCCAAACACUCUGAUAUCAGAAUGUUCUUCCCUAUUCGGGCUAGUUUAUAAAGUUCAUUUGAGAGUAUUCUGAAAUUAAAUAAAACAAACCUAAAACAGUAAGACUGCA